rnacentral:rRNA from 1 species
GGGUAACCUGCCUGUAAGACUGGGAUAACUCCGGGAAACCGGGGCUAAUACCGGAUGCUUGAUUGAACCGCAUGGUUCAAUUAUAAAAGGUGGCUUUUAGCUACCACUUACAGAUGGACCCGCGGCGCAUUAGCUAGUUGGUGAGGUAACGGCUCACCAAGGCAACGAUGCGUAGCCAACCUGAGAGGGUGAUCGGCCACACUGGGACUGAAACACGGCCCAAACUCCUACGGGAGGCAGCAGUAGGGAAUCUUCCGCAAUGGACAAAAGUCUGACGGAGCACCGCCGCGGGAGUGAUGAAGGUUUUCGGAUCGUAAAACUCUGUUGUUAGGGAAGAACAAGUACCGUUCGAAUAGGGCGGUACCUUGACGGUACCUAACCAAAAAGCCACGGCUAACUACGUGCCAGCGGCCGCGGUAAUACUUAGGUGGCAAGCGUUGUCCGAAAUUAUGGGGCGUAAAGCGCGCGCAGGCGGUUUCUUAAUUCUGAUGUGAAACCCCCCGGCUCAACCGGGGAGGGUCAUUGGAAACUGGGGAACUUGAGUGCAAAAAAGGGAGAGUGAAAUUCCCACGUGUACCGGUGAAAGGCUUAAAAGAUGGG